CUUGUCUUGAAGAUUUUUGUUCCCAUGCUUGGUUCUUGAGAUGGUUAGCACUAUUUUCCAUCCAGCAAACUGAUCUAACGUCAUUUUCGCAAGAUAGAAGAAGUGUUAAAUGGCUAUGUAACUAACCAAAACCCUACCCCUACUCUAAUCCCUAACCCUAACCUCAACCCUAACUCUAACCCUAACCCUAACCCUAACCCUAACCCUAACCCUAACCCUAACC